rfam:Thiomonas delicata strain DSM 16361 genome assembly, scaffold: BBA-D_THIARS_scaffold4
GAAGCGGGCUGGGCAGCCGCGCUGGCGCGGGGCGACCCGCGCGGUGAGGAAGGUCCGGACUCCACAGGGCAGGGUGACGGCUAACGGCCGUGCGCGGCGACGCGACGAACAGGGCCACAGAGACGAGUAAGCGCCGGGCGACCGGCGUGGACGUGAAACGCGGCAACCUCCACCCGGAGCAACACCAAAUAGGCAGGCGAUGCCCGGCCAAGGUCGGGAGAAAGCGCGGCCCGCGCGAGCCUGCGGGUAGGUGGCAACGAGCCGCUGCGGUAACGCGCGGCCCAGAGGAAUGGCUGCCACAUCGGGCAACCGAUGCACAGAAUCCGGCCUAUAGGCCCGCUUCGCUU